rnacentral:lncRNA from 1 species
AUGCCGUCUCGGGGAGGGUAACAAAAUGUGAAAGCCAAAUAGAAGCCAGCUGGACAGCACUGAAGGCUUGGAAAAGUGGCAAUAAAGUUACCUAAGAAUAAAAUGGAUGUUUUUAUUCAAAUAAAUAGGAUGUAUUCCUAUGAAACGUGUGUAUUGAAAACUUGGGUUUUUACCCAUAUGUUUAAUGUUAUAAACAUGGUGGUUUACU